AGUGAACGCUGGCGGCAGGCCUAACACAUGCAAGUCGAGCGGCAGCGGGUCCUUCGGGAUGCCGGCGAGCGGCGGACGGGUGAGGAAUACAUCGGAAUCUGCCCUGUCGUGGGGGAUAACCUAGGGAAACUUAGGCUAAUACCGCAUACGACCUGCGGGUGAAAGCGGGGGUUCGCAAGACCUCGCGCGACAGGAUGAGCCGAUGUCCGAUUAGCUAGUUGGCGGGGUAAAGGCCCACCAAGGCGACGAUCGGUAGCUGGUCUGAGAGGAUGAUCAGCCACACUGGGACUGAGACACGGCCCAGACUCCUACGGGAGGCAGCAGUGGGGAAUAUUGGACAAUGGGCGCAAGCCUGAUCCAGCCAUGCCGCGUGGGUGAAGAAGGCCUUCGGGUUGUAAAGCCCUUUUGUCCGGGAAGAAAUCGUCUGGGCUAAUACCCCGGGCGGAUGACGGUACCGGAAGAAUAAGCACCGGCUAACUUCGUG
rnacentral:rRNA from 1 species